rnacentral:rRNA from 1 species
UGUAUAAUGGGUCAGCGACUUAUAUUCUGUAGCAAGGUUAACCGAAUAGGGGAGCCGAAGGGAAACCGAGUCUUAACUGGGCGUUAAGUUGCAGGGUAUAGACCCGAAACCCGGUGAUCUAGCCAUGGGCAGGUUGAAGGUUGGGUAACACUAACUGGAGGACCGAACCGACUAAUGUUGAAAAAUUAGCGGAUGACUUGUGGCUGGGGGUGAAAGGCCAAUCAAACCGGGAGAUAGCUGGUUCUCCCCGAAAGCUAUUUAGGUAGCGCCUCGUGAAUUCAUCUCCGGGGGUAGAGCACUGUUUCGGCAAGGGGGUCAUCCCGACUUACCAACCCGAUGCAAACUGCGAAUACCGGAGAAUGUUAUCACGGGAGACACACGGCGGGUGCUAACGUCCGUCGUGAAGAGGGAAACAACCCAGACCGCCAGCUAAGGUCCCAAAGUCAUGGUUAAGUGGGAAACGAUGUGGGAAGGCCCAGACAGCCAGGAUGUUGGCUUAGAAGCAGCCAUCAUUUAAAGAAAGCGUAAUAGCUCACUGGUCGAGUCGGCCUGCGCGGAAGAUGUAACGGGGCUAAACCAUGCACCGAAGCUGCGGCAGCGACGCUUAUGCGUUGUUGGGUAGGGGAGCGUUCUGUAAGCCUGCGAAGGUGUGCUGUGAGGCAUGCUGGAGGUAUCAGAAGUGCGAAUGCUGACAUAAGUAACGAUAAAGCGGGUGAAAAGCCCGCU